AUUUACUUUCGCUUUAUUUCGGUG
rnacentral:siRNA from 1 species